rnacentral:rRNA from 1 species
UUUGGAAUUUUGGACAAUGGGCGAAAGCCUGAUCCAGCGACGCCGCGUGGACGAUGAAGGUCUUCGGAUCGUAAAGUCCUUUUGCUCGGGAACAAUAUCUUGAGCGUACCGAGAGAAUAAGAGGUUGCUAACUCUGUGCCAGCAGCAGCGGUAAUACAGAGACCUCAAGCGUUAUCCGGAAUCAUUGGGCGUAAAGCGUACCGAUAGGUGGUUUUACAAGUCAGAAGUGAAAUCUUCAAGCUCAACUUGGAAUCUGUCUUUUGAAACUGUAAAACUAGAGAGGCAAAGAGGAAGCUGGAACGAACGGUGUAGUAGUGAAAUGCGUUGAUAUCGUUCGGAACACCAAUAGCGUAGGCAGGCUUCUGGGUGCCACCUGACACUGCUAGGACGAAAGCGUGGGGAGCGAAUGGG